AAUAUUUACUUUUAACAGACAAAAAUGAAUUAUAGGGCUAUAUACUAUCUUGAAAGUUUUUUGUUUUUUAGAACACAUACCUGAACUGAAUUUUAAAAAUGUGACCAAUCACAUCAAAUUCUUAUCUUUAUUAACAACAAGCUAAUAUGACUUAUAAAAUAACAUUUGUUUUAUGCAGACAUUGGUUAACUUUUCUUUUUUAGUUAGUGCUUUGUUUUUAAUGUUAUUGAGUAUCUUAAGCCACAUUUAUGCUAUUAUUUUUUAUGUUAAACCUUUCAAGUUAGUUGUCUGCUUUUGUUGCUUAUCUAUCUUAACUCUUUCAUCUUCCGCAACACUUUAAUAAAAAAUAAUUCCUUUUCCUCUGACAAAGUUAGACAUUUCACCUUUUCUCUGUUUUAAUGUCUGAUGUAAGCAAAAGAUAUUUCAUUGAGAAAUAACAAAGGCAUUGUUGAUAUUAAGAUUCUUUCAUUUAAUUGUUUUUAUAUAGUAUGUGGUUGUUACAUGAAAUGGGCCUACGAAUGACCCAAACUUAAUCCUGAUUUAUAAUUUAGAGAUUUCUUCUGCUACCAUGUAAUGAUCAAUGUGUUCAGUCUAUGUUCAACACUGAAGAAUUGAAAAAAAUAUGUAAUGUACUUACAGUCCUAGAGAGCUUAGAAAGAAGAAGCAUGGUGAAAUGGAGGACAUUAUGGAUCCUGAAGUCUCCUAGAUCUGGAUUCAAAUCCAUGAACUCUGUUAGAUUAAGUAAAUAAGCUGUCUCUGACCUGCUUUCACACCUCUUGUAUUGCUUUAAAUAUUACAUAAAAUAACCUGUGAAGUAUUUAGUAUUAUACAUAUUAGAUGCUCUACUUGUUUUAUAGUUUCUGUCUCACUCUUCAGGUAGGUAGGUAGACAGAUGAGUUGUUUAUAACUGCAACAGAAAAUGCAAGAAAGUAUGCUUAGAGAUAGAGAUCAUGAUUGCUUGGGAUAGUAAGGGAUUUUGGGGCAAUGGAUUGGUUUUAUGGCCCUAUAACAGACUUUUCCUCAGUGGAAUUUGGUCAGCAGGAUAUAAAAGUCAAUGAAAUGGGGGGAGGGGGGUGUGCAGGGGAAGGUUUGUGACCAAAUGUGUGGAAAACACUGGGGGUGUAGUUUGUGUAGCAUUUCCCAAAUAUCUUUGAUCUUUGUGCCAUUUGCCAUGGAACAUCUCUCAGAACUAAUGUUCCAAGAGAAACUUUGGGAAAUACCGUCUCAGAAGAAUAGUAUGUGAAUAAAAGAGGUGAGGGAUCAUUUGAUAUGAAGAAGAUGAGAUUUUAGAUAUUAGAAUUGAGCCAUAAUCUUAGUUAUCUCAAGUUAGCCUUGCAUUCCCAUACCACUUACUUACAGUGGUAAAGUUUUGUAUUGUAAUAAUAUUUGGUAUUUAAGGAA